GAUGAACGCUGGCGGCGCGCCUAACACAUGCAAGUCGAACGGCACCCCUCCUCGGACGGACGCGUGUGGCGAACGACUGAGGAACACGUGGAGAACCUGUCCCCUCCCACGGGUUAGCCGCCCGAAACGACGGGUAAUAUCCGAUACCCCGGCGUACCGCCUGGCACUCCGACCAAAGCACCGGCGGGCGGGGAUGGCUCCGCGGCCCCUCAGGUAGACGGCGGGGUGACGGCCCACCGGGCCGACGACGGGGAGCCGGGUUGCGGGAACGACGGGCCAGAUCGGGACUGAGGCACGGCUCAGGCAUCUACGGGAGGCAGCGGUGGGGAAUCUUGCGCAAUGCGGGGAAGCGUGACACAGCGACGCCGCGUGCGGGACGGAGGCCUUGGGGUAGUAGACCGCUGUCAGCAGGGAAGAGUCAUGACUGUACCUGCAGAAGAAGCCCCGGCUAACUACGUG
rnacentral:rRNA from 1 species